UUGAUCCCAGGACCCUGGGAUCAUGGCCCGACUUGACGGCAGAGCUUCACCAACUCAGCUGCCCAGGCAUCUCCCACAAGUACAUUUAAAAUCAUACUUAAAAAAAAAAAAUGAAAUGCUUCCUGGAUUUAGACACUAGACAACGAGGUUGUAAUCAUUGGGAGUAUCAUUAAUGGACUUGAAUACAUUGGCCAUAAGGAUCUUCCUGAGGAAAGGUUCCCCAGCCAGAUUGCAAGGCUGGGGAUACCCAGCAUAGCCGUGGCCCAGGGGCUUCGGGGUGGGGGGCGGCGGCCGUGAGCCCGGGCCUGGGAUUCUGUCUGGGGAAUAGCCCAGCCUGUGCAGUGGCAACGGUGGGAAGUCUAGUGGACACCCGGACACCAGGCUCCAGACUGGGAGGCUCUCCCCACUGGGUCCUCACGUGCGUGUACGCAGCUCACGCACAUUUCCACAGACAAGCGUGUGACCCGCACUUGAACCCGACGGGAGGGCCUGGGGGUGGGGUGGCCUGAAAUGCAGCACGGGAGCAAUGAGGCGAGUUGGAGACUUGGGUCUCCAACCUGCCGAGACAGGAUGUUUUUCUUUUUCACAGAAGGUGAGAAGAGGGAUGGUGCCUGGCCAGCGAGGCGGUGGCACGCCGUGUGAGGAGCGGCACCCCAGGAGGAGUGUCUCUCACCUUGUCCGCCCUCGGCAGAUGUCAGGGAGGAGCUGCUGGUGCUCUGCAGGCCAUGUGCUGCUCAGAUAGUGACCCAGGGCUGGAGCCGGGGGACUUGAGGCUCGACUGCCUGGAAACACCUGUCCCACAGACGGAGGCUUUGGGGGGGCACCUAGGGAACCCAUCUGAAGUGAGUCAGGGACAGAGGGUGUGGAGGCUUGCUCAUCACUGGCCUCCACCUCCGAGGAGCCCUCUGGAGACACCCCGGGGCUGGGGCAGGUGCCUGCUCUGGCCUCGUUCUCUGCAUUCCUGACUGUGCUCCCCUCUGCCUGGAGGGCUCACAUCAGCCAGGCAGGGGGUUCAGAGGUGCGGGAUUCAGAGGGGCAGAGCCAGGCACUCCCUGGCCCGGCCUCCUCGGGCCCUGGCAUUCCUGGGAGCAGCCACCAGUGCCAGGGCCCGCGCACCCAGCCCCACACUCCUGAAGCAGUCCUGUGAGGGGGCAGCCGCAAGGACACCCGAGUUCCAGGCUCGUCUCCCCCAGGGAGUUUGGGGACUGCCUUGUGGACGCGGGAGCGGGCAUGUGGUUUGGGGGAACGCAUCCCGCUGACCUGUACCCGUGUCCCUCAGUUUCCCCACAGCGGAGCCGAUGUGCUUCUGAUUCCUUCUUCGCGAUUCUGAAGGCCCGUGGGAACUGUCAGUGCGUGUCUGACGUUGGCUGCGUGUCAAUUAACGGGGGUCAUGGGUUUUGGCAGGAGAGGCCGCGGGAGCUGGGCUGUCCUUGCAGGUGGUGCACACUCCAUCUGUCACCCCACUGGCCCCGGACCUGUGUCCAGUCCAUGUGACUCUGACUCGAGUCACAGGAAACGCUCAUUUCCACGCUGCUGGAUCACGUGUGGCAGCUGCUAAGGAAGCCACCUCUUCUCAUAAUUUUUGUUAAAAAAUAUUUUAUUUAUUUAUUUAUGAUAGAGAGAGAGAGAGAGAGGAGAGAGAGAGAGAGAGGCAGAGACACAGGAGGAGGGAGAAGCAGGCUCCAUGCCGGGAGCCCGACGUGGGACUUGAUCCUGGGACUCCAGGAUCAUGCCCUGGGCCAAAGGCAGGCGCUAAGCCACUGAGCCACCCAGGGAUCCCCCUCUUCUCAUAAUUUGGCAUAUGAGGAGCACAUACACUGCAUGUUUACCCAUCGACCCCAUGGAAAGCUGUCCUUCGGUGACAUGAAGGGCAUAUCGUAGCUCUCUGUGUGCAUGGCGUGUAAGUGCGUGUGUUUGCACACAAGGGACAGAAAACCAACAACACAUGAGCACUUGUCCAGUUGGGAUGCUCACCGCCCAGGUACAGCGCGUCCUCUCCGUGGCUGGUGUGCAGACAAGGAGCAUAGGCUUGCUGAGGGCUGAGGGGGCAAGCCCGAGCCCCUGUGCCCUGCUCUCCAUGUCCGUGGCCUGGGCUGGUGCCGCUGCUUCUCGCACACCCGCGGCUGAAGCACCCACCGCCCCGUCUGUGCCGUCUCCCAGCACUCAGCCCGGCCGUUGGGGACACAUGGCCCGUGUGCAGCCCCCUCCCCCUGCACUGUCCAUGGAGAGCUAGAGGCUCCCAAGCCGGGCAGGUUGGUGUUCCUUCCCCAGGUAAUCAGAGGUACAGAUAGAACAGAGCCUCUGGCUGACGGACGCCCGGUGGACAGGGCUGUUCAUUUAUGGGGUGCAGCAGGGCCGGCUGGGAAAUUUUGGUCACUUUAAUUUACCGUAUCCAGCCUGCCUGCUGCACGCGGCGGCACUUUUAUCAAGCCCUGUGAGGUGGUAUUGAUUUUUUUAUUUUCUAUGUAGGAUAAGAAGACAGAGAGUUAGGGCAGGAGUGAAUGAAGAACUUUCCUUGGAUGGCCGUGGCUCUGCACCUUAUUCCAUCCUGUCGUCUAUGCUUCAGAUGAAGUUGGGCGUCAAGGCUGCUGAGGGGACAGACAGGCUGCAGCACAGCAGCAGCGGGAAGGCCUGAGGCGGACGGGGCAGAGUCUGCACAUAGUGACUAUGCAGCAGGACAGUCACCACUUCUGCCUGGAGAUUUAUUUCCUGAAAUUAAGAAAUGAACAGACACAAAAUGACAACAAAACACGCAGGCUGCACACAACCCCUGUGUCCCUAGUGGCCCCCCCUUGAUACGCCCGAUGGAGACGGUUGCUUGCUCGAGCCUUCCUUCUUUGGAGCUGGGGAUGUGCUGAUGACGUGGGUGCUGUGAGGACAGAUAGCAGCACGGCUCUGACCUGGUGUGUGUGGCCUGACGGCGUCCUGCUCCCGCUUUCAGAGGCACGGUGAACCCCAGGACCAUACUCGUCCCUGAGGCAGCAGGUGCACUCUCUUGGCUCCCGUACCGUCGAGGAGUGAUAUGUGGCUUAGCACAGACAACGAGGCACACAUGUGGAAGAUGGGGCAGCGGGUCCUGUGAAAGUAGCCUCGGAGUCACCGCAGAGCCAUGUGGAAAGAGGGGCUGGGGGACUACAGGCGGGCGGAGGGCCGGGCACACCAUCCAGAGCAGGUGGGAGCCUGCUGCCCCUGGGGCAGUGCUCGGCCUCCUCCAGACACUUCAAAGACCCCCGUUCAGCAUGACCAGGAGGGAGACACUUCAGUCUGCUGGGUCAUGGAGUAACUUGAGAAACCAGACGAAGAGGGUGUUUGUGAACAUGGGCACACCCAUGUCUUCUCUCCAUGUCAAUAUCCUUUGUUUACACGACGGUGAUCAAAUCCCCCCUCACACAAAUCCAGAGCUGGUGCGUGAUGCCGGGUCCUCGUGCGCUCAGCUCAGGGACGAUGUCGCUCACUUACACAUGCAACCCAACCAAGCACUGGGUUUACUUUUACAACAUGAAUUGUGUGGUCAACAGCGGGGUGGUGCUUGGAUAGCACAGGUGCGUGCACAGUAAUCUGGGAGCUGAAUCCGUAGAGAUCUUUCAUUUCCUGGCCCCGCAGCUUCCGACUUCUGAUGGCCCCUCUUUCCGUUCUGACCCUCACCUGCACUCGUAGGUGGGGCGGCUGUUUGCAGAUGAGUCGUCCCCUGUGACUGUUCCAGAGCAGGUGCCUGGGGAAUAUCUACUGCUGAAUAACUGGUGUGUGUGUGUGUGUGUGUGUGUGUGUAAAUGAUAUGUAAGAUUGGAAUGUAAAAUUCCCUAAAAAAAAAAGGAUUUUGCUAAUGUAUGAAGUUGAAUCAGAAGAGGCAUGAACGAGACUUAGAAUUAGGCCUGAUGUUAAUAUCCUCGAGGCCAAACAUGGCCAUUCAUGCCAGGCAUCAUAUCCCCUUAGCAUCUGCAACUUUAAAUCUAAUAAUGUAACUUGAUGCUUUAAAGAAAAACACCUUUAACCUCAAGGCUCUUCUUCUUCCGUUAAAAUCAACAAAGGGAACCCAUUAUUGGCCGAGGACGACCUAGUGGUAACUUGCAGGAGGCGUCUAUGUCGAGAGAGGCCCAACAUGAUUGGAAUAAGGUUUCAGUGAAAUAAAAUUAAUAUGUGACUUUAAACAUGGGGUUUGCUAAAUGUGUCUAUUUUGCAAAGAGAUUGAUGCCUCUUCCCAUGAAACCAGGCCAAGUCUGCCUCACCCCGAUUCUACCUAACGCUGUAAGGGAGGCUUUCAUGGGCACUUAGUGGGCCUGGAUGCUUCCUUGCUCUCCAAUGCUUUCAAUGCGAGGGAUAACCGGUACCUGAGGCCUCCCCGCCUGUCGGAAAA